rnacentral:rRNA from 1 species
UACGUAGGGUGCAAGCGUUGUCCGGAAUUAUUGGGCGUAAAGAGCUCGUAGGCGGUCAGUCGCGUCUGCUGUGAAAACUCGGGGCUUAACCCCGGGCGUGCGGUGGAUACUGCCGGGCUAGAGGGUGGUAGAGGCGAGUGGAAUUCCUGGUGUAGCGGUGGAAUGCGCAGAUAUCAGGAGGAACACCAAUAGCGAAGGCAGCUCGCUGGGACGUUACUGACACUAAGGCGCGAAAGCGUGGGGAGCGAACAGG